rnacentral:snRNA from 1 species
AUCGCUUCUCGGCCUUUUGGCUAAGAUCAAGUGUAAUGAACAUUGAUAUAAAAAUCCUCAACAAGAUACUGGCAAACAUGGCCGGCUGGCCGGCUGCAGGAACCACACAGGUGGCCUGCUUCCAGUGUCUGUGCUCUGUGCAAGCACC